rnacentral:tRNA from 1 species
UCCUUGAUAGUAUAGUGGUGAGUAUCUCUACCUGUCACGUGGAAGGCCCAGGUUUGAUUCCCGGUCGAGGAG